AACCUCAUUGACCGGAAGGGAUUCCUUCCAGUCAAUGAGGUUUAGCCUCCUCAUUGACUGGAAGGAAUCCCUUCCGGUCAAUGAGGUU
rnacentral:miRNA from 1 species